AAAAGGCCCCAAUCCUAAGUGGCAACCCAAAGCCUAAUAUUGCCCAAUCUUCCAAAUUGGACCCAAAACCCAUCACGGGACUAAAUCCAUGAGAGCCCAAUAUAGUAACAAAACCCAAAAAUAGAAUUCUAAUGGCCCAAAAAGGCCCAAAGUCAAUGGUCCAAACUCCAACAGUUGGUCCUUACGUCGUGACCAGCUCAUGCUCACGUCGUGAGCACUAACUCGACCCAGUCCCAACUCAGUGGGUCAAUUCAGCCCUUCAAGACGAUUCCAAUCCUUGUCACAUAGCAACCUCAACCUAAGUCACACCGUGACCUAAUCCGGACAAAAUAGUUAGGAUAGCUAGUAUUCUCACGACGCGACAGGCUUAAUCAUCACGUUGUGAGAUCUACACUGACCAGCUUUGAGCAUUAAGCUCUUAUUCCUUAUAGCCAUAACCUGGGAAUUUCCAUAGGGUCUUUCCCUUUCCUAAAGGAUGAUAAAAACCAUAGCUUUUUAGUCAUGCAUGUCCAAUACAUGAAUCAAACUCUUACUAGGCCAAGAGUGGGAAAAUGCGAUCAAGACUCAUGCUUGGAGUCUCAAACUAUACCAAAACUCAGAUCUAAAGACUAUAUCAUAGAGAAUAACACAAUGAUCCAUAAAGUUUUCAACUUUAUGGAUCCUUAGGAUGCAAUCCAACACAAACAUGCAAAAAGGAGCUUAGAACUUAGAUCUAGCAUGCAAAAGGUAGACAUGUCCAAGCUUUAAGACUUACAAUGGUCCUAAAGCUCCAACGAUUUGUAAAUAUGUGCUAACCGAUUUAUAUACAAAGUUUUGAUUUGUGAUCAUUUUAUGCAUGAAAUUACUUUGACACAUAUUUUAUUUCCCUUUAUGGACGAGACUUCACUUUUUCUGUUAAAUGUUUAAUGUAUUGCGAGGUUAUUACCAUGAUUUUAAAGAAGAUACAACAUGAAAACACAAUUCUUUUUAGGAGAAGUAGUUCCAUAAACUUUGAACAUGGAUCAUGAUUGGUUUAAAUCUCUCAAGCUUGUAGCAUGAUGUACCGGCUUAAUCAAAUUCAACAAAACAAAGUGAUAUUCAAUAAUAAUCAAAUACAAACAAAAGAUAAAUAAGUUAAUAAGCCUACCCAACUUGUUCAAAUUAAUAUGUCAUAUAGUUAACUACAAACAACGAUAGAUUCAAAAUAAUUUCAAAUUUUCUAAAAACAAAACUCAUGAUUUCAAACAAACUUCUAAUGCAUCAUCUUUAUCAAAAGGCACUUUCACUGUUUCUCAAAUCGAAAUUCAUUAUUUUCAUUAUUCUCUUUUUUUCACCUUUUACGAUCGAAAAUUUUUCAAUCGAGAACUUGAGGUGAGAGAUCUUGUUAUUUUUUGAGUUCUCCUUUCUCCUCCCAGCAAUUUGUCGUUGGUUGUGACUUUUCUACAGGGAGAAGAUGAGUAUCUAUUGUGGAUUGAAGUGGUUUUUGUACAAAUGGGGAAUCACUUCUUACGUUUCCAAGGGAAAUAGUUCAUAACAACUGUUUGGAACACAAAAAGAUAAUUCAAGUUCCGGACUAAAAUACCAGAUAUGGUUGUUCCACAUGAAAAACGCGUUUGGAUUGUAACAGCUCAAGCUACUAGACGGAGUAGUAAACUUAUGCUACCUAGAACAAAUUGUAUGAUCAAUUCUUUCGGUUUUCAUGGGGUUAUUUCUAGUAACAGUUUUUUAUGCAUAAAAAUAGUUAUUUUCAUCGGUCUUAUUCAAUUUCAUAUAGUAUAUGUAUAUGUAUAGUCAUAAUUCACCACAUUUGAAACUAUCUUAGGGUCUUAAAAAGUCGUUACACAACUUUCAUUUUUGUACAUAUAUCUCUAAGUGUCCUCGAGUAUUAUCCCGUAUGGGAUUUUGUGAUUGUCAGGUAUAGGGUUAAAAUAUAAAUAUAGAAAGUUAACCUACACAAACCUCAAGAUAUAUAGACAUUUAGUUGAUUAUUUUUUCAUUCUAAUUUUGUACCUUAUUUCCAAGAAUCAUCAACAAUUUUGAUUGAUGGAUGACGCACAUGCCUAGGAUUGUUUUGCUCAAAGUAAACCCACACUCAAAAUAUUACUCAUAUUAAUAAUAUCAUGCAUAAUGGAUCAAGAUUUCCAUAUCCCACAUUGAAAACAUGACCCAAGAGCAAAAACAUAAAGCACCGAAAGAUUCUUCGCUUUGAACAUCAGUCAAUAAAAACAAUUAUAUGUUGGAUCGGCUGAUGAAUUGUUGGAUUUAGAAUUUCCAUAGGUUGUGGGUAUUACUUACUAGUCUUAGGUAUGUGAUCUUCUCGGGCCAAAAUGACAUGGUCGGAUUGAAUUGUCUCUUUUUACUCCAAUUUAAACAAAUCAUAUUUAAUCCGUUAAACUUUAAAAAUCAAAACCUCGUAAUCUCAACAAAAUUACAUUUAUAAUUAAGUUCAAAGUACAACAUUUAUAAAAAUUACUAAGUCAAGAAAAUAUAAAUAAAAACGAUUAAUUAAAACAAUAAUUUGCUAAAUUAUAUAUGCAAAAUCAUAUGCUUUGAUAAUACAGUUUCACGAUCACAUUUAACAGUAUAGUUAUACAAUACACACAUAGAAAAAGGAGGCCGCGAGAAGGUAUGGAGUCGAGCGCAUUUGCAUUUUUAUUUACAAAGAAAUCUAGUAUUUUUUUAUCGUUAUCUUAUUGACCGAAUGUGAUGUGUUAAAUCAUAAUAUAAUCACCGAUGGUCUGAUAUGUAAUUAUCACAUUGAGCUAACUUCGUUAUAGAGAAAAAUUUGAUCCUAAAUAUUUCAUUGAGGGCCUGGCCCCGUAGGGUUGCUGGAGACAACUCCGAAUGACAUAUACAACUUUACUUGCUAUGUCCCCUAAGCCAUAAAUCGUUAAUGUAUUUAACUUGAUAUGUAAAUUAUAUAAAUUAUUCGAUCGUUUACCAUAUACAUAAAAAUAACGCGCCACAUUGAAAUACUUGAAAUCGUAUAUUAAAUGACAUAACUCAUAUUCUAGCCUAUAAAUCAACUCGGUAGGAUGGAAGUUUACCUAACAAAUAAUAAAAUGGAAAAUCCUAAGAGAUGUCUUGAUCUUGUUUGGGUUCUCCUUAUGAUUUCAAUUAUGACGCCACCCCAACCUUUCUUUUAUUCACAGGCGGAGCCAUUUCCUAAAUACACCGUGCACAUCGUAGAUAUCGGUCUUGAAAACCUCAUGGUUGGCUGUGGACGGGCGUAUCAAUGGCCUUUUUUUAAAACGAUUAACAAUGGUAGCGAGUACCUUAUCGAGUUUAAUAAUGAUGAUGUUUACACUUGUGCUUUCAACUGGAAAAAUAAACAUACGAAAUUCGAAGUUUUUAAUCAAACAAUCAAUAAGCUUUGCAUCGGAGGGGUUAGUAAGGAUUGCUUUUGGCGAGCAACACUCACCGAGUUUGAUUUUUUGGAAGAAACUUGGGAAACGAUGUACACUUGGUAAAAAUUAUUCUUUUGGUAUUUAAUUUUAUAUUAUUUAUUGUAAUGAUAAAAAUAAAAUUAUCUAAGAAGUCCAUAUAUACAUAAUUACAACUACGAUCUUUUUCAUCGCCAUUCUUUUGAAUAUCUCUUUUGUUAAUUAUCGGCUUGUCAAAACAAUGAAAAUGGAAGUUACAAAAUAUUUUCGUUUGUAUGAACCAAAUAACUUGGCAUAUUAGUGAUUGAAUCUCAUUGCUAUUUCAGCGACGAUGUAGUUUUUUUCACUCUUUAGUAUCUUAAUGUUAAACUGAUUACAUUCAACAAAAUGCAUUUUCCGAAAACAAUAUGAAAUGAAUUGGAGGGUCAUAAUAUUUGCAAAUAUGUGCUAACCGGUUUAUAUACAAAGUUUUGAUUUUUGAUCUUUUUAUGCAUGAAAUUACUCUGACACAUAUUUUAGUUCCCUUUAUGGACGAGACUUCACUUUUUCUGUUAAAUAUUUAAUGUAUUGCGAGGUUAUUACCAUGAUUUUAAAGAAGAUACAACAUAAAAACACAAUUCUUUUUAAGAGAAGUAGUUCCAUAAACUUUGAACAUGGAUCAUGAUUGGUUUAAAUCUCUCAAGCUUAUAGCAUGAUGUAACUGAUUCAACAAAAGAAAGUGAUAUUUAAUAAUAAUCAAAUACAAACAAAAGAUAAAUAAUUUAAUAAGCCUACCCGACUUGUUCAANUUCUUUUUAGGAGAAGUAAUUUCAUAAACUUUGAACAUGGAUCAUGAUUGGUUUAAAUCUCUCAAGCUUAUAGCAUGAUGUACCGACUUAAUCAAAUUCAACAAAAGAAAGUGAUAUUUAAUAAUAAUCAAAUACAAACAAAAGAUAAAUAAUUUAAUAAGCCUACCCGACUUGUUCAAAUUAUUAUGUCAUAUAGUUAACUACAAACAACGAUAGUUUCACAAUAAUUUCAAAUUUUCUAAAAACAAAACACAUGAUUUCAAACAAACUUCUAAUGCAUCAUCUUUAUCAAAAGGCACUUUCACAGUUUCUCAAAUCGAAAUUCAUUAUUUUCAUUAUUCUCCUUUUUUCACCUUUUACGAUCGAAAAAUUUUCAAUCGAGAACUUGAGGUGAGAGAUCUUAUUAUUUUUUGAGUUCCGCUUUCUAAAACAUAUGCAAAUACAUAACAUAUGCAAAUACAUAACAUAACAUAUGCAACAGUCACGCAGUAAAUAUGCAAGUACAUAACAUAUGCAAGAGUCACGCAGACAUCUAGCAUCUAAAACAUAACAAACCAUGGGCUGGAAUUGGUGCCUUCGACCCGCUAACACAGUGAGGAAACUCACCUAUAGCUGCUGAAACACUCAAAUGAAUCUCUGUGUGCUGGUCCGGAAAAUUAUCCCGCUAUCAUAUGACAUGUAUGUGUAUUUUUGGGAAAACUUGAGUUCGGUCAAUUGCAUGCAUCACACCCUAGUCUUUUAUUAGAAACCCUUUUUAUAAAACAUUUAUUUUUUAAAAACUCUACCAACCCUCAGUUUGAGUUCAGACACACUCGAGAGUAUGUCCGAAUCCAUCAAACCAAGGCUCUGAUACCAACUUGAAAAGUCCCAAAAAUUAAGACUAAAAAUUUCGUUUUUAAAUUAAUAAAAUAUUAUCCAAAACAUCAUCAUAAAUAAAUCAUUAUGGAACAAGUGUAUCAACAACAUCACAAAACAUUAGAGUAACAUAAAAUGCGGAACGAGGUGGUGUGUACACUUCAAUCAUCCCGGACUCUUCCCCUUUGAACCAGAAGUACCUGAAAACAAAAUUGAAAACCGUAAGCACAAAGCUUAGUGAGUUCACCAGAAUACCACAUACCAUACAUAUCAAACACAUAAAUGGCCCCGAUCGUCAUCGGGCCCCGCUUGGUGUACAUAUCUAUCAACCAUCAAGCCCCGGGCAUCUCACCCUGCCCGACAUCGAGCCAUGCUUGGUAUAAAGAUAUGCUAGUCAUCGGGCCUCGCCCUAAGAGAUGUUGAAACGUCCAAAAAAUUAAGACUAAAAUAUUCGUUUUUAAAUUAAUGAAACUAUUAUCCAAAACUUCAUCAUAAAGAAAUCAUGGUGGAACAAAUGUAUCAAAAACAUCACAAAACAUCAAAGUAACAUAAAAUGCAGAACGAGGUGGUUGGUGCACUACAAUCAUCUCAGGAUCUUCCCCUUUGAACUAGAAGCACCUGAAAACAAAACUGAAUACCGUAAGCACAAAGCUUAGUGAGUUCCCCAGAAUACCACAUAUCAUACAUACCAAACAUAUAAUGGGCUCCGCUCGUCAUCGGGCCUUGCCCGACAUCGACCCUCACUCGGUAUACAAAUAUUUCAAUCAUUGGGGCCUGCUCGGUAUACAAAUCUAUCAGUCAUCGGGCCCAACCCGGUACACAUAUAAAAUAUAAGAAUAUAAACACAUAACACAUGCAAUAAUCAAAAAGAUAAAUAGCAUACAAAAUGGUCAUUGGGUCCCGCCCAGCAUCGGGCUCCGCCUAGUAAACAUGCAAACACAUAACAUAUGCAAGAGUCACACAGACAUCUAGCAUCCUAAACAUAACAAACCAUGGGCUGGAAUUGGUGCCUUCGACCGGCUGACAUAGUGAGGAAACUCACCUCUAGCUGCUGAAACACUCAAAUAAAUCUUUGUUUGCUGGUCUGGAAAAUCCUUGCGCUAUCAUAUAACAUGUAUGUGUAUUUUGGGAAAACUUACUUGAGCUCGGUCGAUUGCAUGCACCACACCCUUGUCUUUUGUUAGAAACCUUUAUUAUAAAACAUUUAUUUUUGAAAAAUUCUACCAAACCCUCAAUUUGAGUUCAGAGACACUCGAGAGUAUGUCCGAGCCCCUCAAACCAAGGCUCUUAUACUAACUUCAAAUGUCCCAAAAAUUAAGACAAAAAAUUUCGUUUUUAAAUUUAUAAAAUAUUAUCCAAAAAAUCAUCAUAAAGAAAUAAUUGUGGAACAAGUGUAUCAACAACAUCACAAAACAUUAAAGUAACAAAAAAUGCGGAACGAGGUGGUGUGUGCACUUCAGUCAUCCCGAUCUCUUCCCCUUCGAACCAUAAAUACCUGAAAACAAAGCUGAAAAUCGUAAGCACAAUGCUUAGUGGGUUCCCCAGAAUACCACAUACCAUACAUAUCAAACAUAUAAAUGGCCCCGCUCGUCAUCAGGCCCUGCUCGAUAUACAGAUCUAUCAGCCAUUGGGCCUCGGGCAUCUCGCCCUACCUGAUAUCGAGCCCCGCUCGGUAUACAGAUAUGGCAAUCAUCGGGCCCCGCCCGAUAUACAUAUAAAAAUAUAAGCAUAUAAACACAUAACACAUGCAAUAAUCAUAAAGAUAAAUAACAUGCAUGAUGGUUAUCGGGCCCCACCCGACAUCGGGCUCUGAUCGCUUAACAGGCAAACACAUAACAAAUGCAAGAGUCAUGCAAACAUCUAGCAUCCUAAACAUAACAAACCACGGGCCGACAUUAGAGCCAUCGACCCGCUAACACAAUGAGGAAACUCAUAUCUAGUUGUUGAAACACUCAAAUGAAUCUCUGUCUGCUGGUCCGGAAAAUCCCCGCGCUAUCAUCACAAAACAAUAUCCAAUUAAUAGUUGGAUCUUGACCCCUAAUCAAGAAUCUAAACUAAAUGUCUAAUACACAGGGUAAAAGACCAUUUCACCCUUUUUUUCUUACUUGGACCAAAACCAAGGCCCAACCCAUCUAUUCAAAAAGGCCCCAAUCCUAAGUGGCAACCCAAAGCCUAAUAUUGCCCAAUCUUCCAAAUUGGACCCAAAACCCACCACGGGACUAAAUCCAUGAGAGCCCAAUAUAGUAACAAAACCCAAAAAUAGAAUUCUAAUGGCCCAAAAAGGCCCAAAGUCAAUGGUCCAAACUCCAACAGUUGGUCCUUACGUCGUGACCAGCUCAUGCUCACGUCGUGAGCACUAACUCGACCCAGUCCCAACUCAGUGGGUCAAUUCAGCCCUUCAAGACGAUUCCAAUCCUUGUCACAUAGCAACCUCAACCUAAGUCACAUCGUGACCUAAUCCGGACAAAAUAGUUAGGAUAGCUAGUAUUCUCACGACGCGACAGGCUUAAUCAUCACGUUGUGAGAUCUACACUGACCAGCUUUGAGCAUUAAGCUCUUAUUCCUUA
rnacentral:lncRNA from 1 species